UACGUAGGGUGCGAGCGUUAAUCGGAAUUACUGGGCGUAAAGCGCGCGUAGGCGGCUUGUUAAGUCAAAUGUGAAAUCCCCGAGCUUAACUUGGGCAUUGCAUUCGAUACUGGCAAGCUAGAGUAUGGGAGAGGAAGGUAGAAUUCCAGGUGUAGCGGUGAAAUGCGUAGAGAUCUGGAGGAAUACCGAUGGCGAAGGCAGCCUUCUGGCCUAAUACUGACGCUGAGGUGCGAAAGCAUGGGGAGCAAACAGG
rnacentral:rRNA from 1 species